UACAGUGGUCUCAAGCGUUGUUCGGAUUCAUUGGGCGUAAAGGGUGUGUAGGUGGCGCGCUAAGUCGGGUGUGAAAUUUCGGAGCUUAACUCCGAAGCUGCAUUCGAUACUGGCGUGCUUGAGGACUGGAGAGGAGACUGGAAUUUACGGUGUAGCAGUGAAAUGCGUAGAUAUCGUAAGGAAGACCAGUGGCGAAGGCGGGUCUCUGGACAGUUCCUGACACUGAGACACGGAAGGCCAGGGGAGCAAACGGG
rnacentral:rRNA from 1 species